rnacentral:rRNA from 1 species
CCUACGGGAGGCAGCAGUGAGGAAUAUUGGUCAAUGGGCGUAAGCCUGAACCAGCCAAGUAGCGUGAAGGAUGACGGAUCUAUGGGUUGUAAACUUCUUUUAUAGAGGAAUAAAGUUAUCCACGUGUGGAUUUUUGCAUGUACCUUAUGAAUAAGCAUCGGCUAACUCCGUGCCAGCAGCCGCGGUAAUACGGAGGAUGCGAGCGUUAUCCGGAUUUAUUGGGUUUAAAGGGUGCGUAGGUUGGUUUUUAAGUCAGCGGUGAAAGUUUGUGGCUCAACCAUAAAAUUGCCGUUGAUACUGGAAAACUUGAGUGUGAUUGAGGUAGGCGGGA